GGGGUGGUGCGCGAAUCAAUGGCGCAACUCGACCUUUCGAUCCUGACUCGUCGGCCUGAGCAGACGAACUCGGAGUCAUCGCUUCGAAAAAUAGAUUUUCGAAUCUAAGUGCAGCUUUCUCGAGUCUGCGAGCCACCGCAUCACCACCAGAAUGAACCAGCCGUCCGAGUUGCCCACCAAGUCGGCUACCCACGACUACACCGUGGAGAAUCUGCAGAAGUUGGCUGAAGAAAUGCUCAACGAUCCGGAGUUGGGGUGUCGCAGCCGCGUGGUGUCGGCCUUCAGCGGCGACGGGGGCAGCUACACGGCUGGCCCCAACACCGAUAUGAUGCCGGACAAGCAGCUGUACGACUUUGAUUAUAUCAUCAUGUCGAUCUAAAUUAUUAUCCAUGUAACCGUAGGUUUUAAGUAAGUGUCGUCAUGUGUUUUGAUGUUGUCUUGUGAUCCAUGUCAUUUUCUGCUCUCACUUAGUAUUAAGUCAUAUCGUUCCAUUGUAUUAGGAUUAAGUAAGUACGUACACUGUUGCGCUUAGGAUUAAGGAUUGAUGGUGUCGAGGUUCGGAGGUUCUUCAUGUAUUUCACAUCGUGUCAUGUAAGGUUUCUGUGUUUUUAAGAUAUCUCGAUGUAAUGUCUAGGUUUAAUAUUGUCGUGUAUUUGUACUAAGGUAUUCAUGUGGUUUCGUGUUGUGUAUCGUCGUCGUCUUUGUGAACAUUUUUCAACUCGUUUAUUAUCCUUACUUUAAGCGUGUGCUGAGGUGUUUUUAAUGACUUUAUUAAGUGUAACUUUUCGUCGUCUCUAGGCAGUGAUUGUUGUACCCUUGUCAAAUCAGUAUUACUAUUAAUAAUUUGUAUUAAGAUUGAUCAUGGUGGAGAGUAAGGAUUAAAAUUAAUUGAAAGGAAUCGCGUUAGGUCUGAGGUUAAAAAAAAACAGAAAUGGGUUGAAAUUAUUGUAAUAUCUUGCAAUUUUGAAUGUAUUAGGUCUAAAGUUAGAUAAGGGUUUCAAUGAUUUUCUAAUCGUAUAAUAUUGUUGAUAUCUGUGCCAAUUACUUUAAUUAUGUAAGUGUCGUGUCGUAUUUCGUAUAUGUGUCUAUAUUGUAUUGGGGUGUUCAAUGUGCGUGUGUUUGGUGUUUCGGUGUUGUACUGUCCAGGGACUUAUGUAUUUGAUUAUCUUUUUCUAUUAUGUGGUAAUUAAAUUCUUCAAAAAC